CUGCGGCCCGAUCUGCAUAUCAAAUAGCUGGCUUGUAGAUGAGGCCAUUCAUGCUGCCUUCUGUGUGUUGGUCCUGCUGGGGAUGGGCUGUUGUUUAGCAGCAGGCCCGUUCCCUCAGGCUCCCUGAGUCAGCAGCCCCCCUCACCCACACUGAAUUCAAAACCAGGAUUGAUCUUCUCAGAGAAGUCUCUGAUGCAAUGGAAAAACCCAGGCUCAGGAACGUGUGGCUCAUCAAGAACACUUAGUCUACCAGGCCAGGGAUUCUGGCCUUCUCUCUCUCAGGCCCAAUCCUGGUUUUGAUGCAGCUUUCCCAGCAGCUAACUUGGGGCACAAUCUUGUUGAAAAAUUGUGGAUAGGAUGAGGACAGUGGACAAAUACAUUAUUUCAAAAUAUUAAAAAAUCAGAAGUAUUUAUUAUACAAAAAAAAACACUGAAUUUCUCAAACCCAGAUCUGGAGGAAGUUAGGGCACCUAUAUUUCUUGAUGAUAGCUCUGUAGUAAAGAAUAAUCAAACACUGAAGGCUAUUCAUAUAGGUCCAUUUCAUAUACACAAAAAUCAAAUAAAACCUAGCAAAGAAAAUAUUCAGAAACACAGCAAAAGUAAAUUUUGCAUUACAGCAUGACCCUGUCUUGAACUCUUUUUCCUGACCAAAAGCCUUUUGCAAAUGAGGCUGGUGGACACUCAUUAUGGAGCUGGGGGCUAGUCCAGGAGCUUCUGGACCAUGCUGCAAGAAUCCAUGUGCUUUCCACGGCAGUGAAACAGUUAAGUUCCCUCAUCUCCUAGGCAACCAGCAAUGGCAGUCUACAUAAGAAUCCUGGGGACACUGCCAAUCUGCUGUUUAAUAAAGUAAACUUGGAUUGCUAGA